rnacentral:rRNA from 1 species
AGGAUGAACGCUAGCGACAGGCCUAACACAUGCAAGUCGAGGGGUAACAGGGAGCUUGCUCCGCUGACGACCGGCGCACGGGUGAGUAACGCGUAUGCAACCUUCCCGCGGGAUCGGGAUAGCCCCCCGAAAGGGGGAUUAACACCGGAUGAGUCAGACGCCUGGCAUCGGGUGUCUGCCAAAUGCGAAGCCUGCGGAUGGGCAUGCGUCCCAUUAGGAAGCUGGCGGGGUAACGGCCCACCAGUCCGACGAUGGGUAGGGGUUCUGAGAGGAAGGUCCCCCACAUUGGUACUGAGACACGGACCAAACUCCUACGGGAGGCAGCAGUGAGGAAUAUUGGUCAAUGGGCGCGAGCCUGAACCAGCCAAGUCGCGUGAGGGAAGACGGCCCUACGGGUUGUAAACCUCUUUAGCCGGGGAGCAAGGGGCGCCACUUGUGGCGUCUCGGAGAGUACCCGGAGAAUAAGCAUCGGCUAACUCCGUGCCAGCAGCCGCGGUAAUACGCAGGAUGCGAGCGUUAUCCGGAUUUAUUGGGUUUAAAGGGUGCGUAGGCGGGCUUCCAAGUCAGCGGUAAAAUCGCGGCGCUCAACGCCGCCCCGCCGUUGAAACUGGGAGCCUUGAGUGAACGAGAAGUGAGCGGAAUGCGUGGUGUAGCGGUGAAAUGCUUAGAUAUCACGCAGAACUCCGAUUGCGAAGGCAGCUCACCGGCGUUCAACUGACGCUGAAGCACGAAAAGCGUGGGGAUCAAACAGGAUUAGAUACCCUGGUAGUCCACGCCGUAAACGAUGAAUGCUAGCCGUGCGCUCCGAUUGAGGGGUGCGUGGCCGAGCGAAAGCGUUAAGCAUUCCACCUGGGGAGUACGCCGGCAACGGUGAAACUCAAAGGAAUUGACGGGGGCCCGCACAAGCGGAGGAACAUGUGGUUUAAUUCGAUGAUACGCGAGGAACCUUACCCGGGCUCAAACGCGGCGGCGAGAUUUUUGAAAGGAGAUCGUAGGCCAGCAAUGGCCAACCGUCGCGAGGUGCUGCAUGGUUGUCGUCAGCUCGUGCCGUGAGGUGUCGGCUUAAGUGCCAUAACGAGCGCAACCCCCAUCGUCAGUUGCCAUCAGGUGAAGCUGGGCACUCUGGCGAGACUGCCAGCGCAAGCUGCGAGGAAGGCGGGGAUGACGUCAAAUCAGCACGGCCCUUACGUCCGGGGCGACACACGUGUUACAAUGGCAGGCACAGCGGGAAGCCACCCGGCGACGGGGAGCGGAUCCCGAAAGCCUGUCUCAGUUCGGAUCGGAGUCUGCAACCCGACUCCGUGAAGCUGGAUUCGCUAGUAAUCGCGCAUCAGCCAUGGCGCGGUGAAU